UCAGCAGCCGCGGUAAUACGGAGGAUGCGAGUGUUAUCCGGAUUCAUUGGGUUUAAAGGGUGCGUAGGCGGAAUAUUAAGUCAGCGAUGAAAUCCUGCAGCUUAACUGUAGAACUGUCAUUGAUACUGGUAUUCUUGAAUGCAGUUGAGGUAGGCGGAAUGUGUAAUGUAGCGGUGAAAUGCUUAGAUAUUACACAGAACACCGAUUGCGAAGGCAGCUUACUAAACUGUGAUUGACGCUGAGGCACGAAAGCGUGGGGAGCAAACAGGAUUAGAUACCCUGGUAGUCCACGCCGUAAACUAUGAUUACUCGCUGUUGGCGAUACACUGUCAGCGGCUGAGCGAAAGCAUUAAGUAAUCCACCUGGGGAGUACGAUCGCAAGGUUGAAACUCAAAGGAAUUGACGGGGGCCCGCACA
rnacentral:rRNA from 1 species